rnacentral:rRNA from 1 species
CCUACGGGAGGCAGCAGUGAGGAAUAUUGGUCAAUGGGCUUACGCCUGAACCAGCCAAGUCGCGUGAGGGAAGACUGCCCUAUGGGUUGUAAACCUCUUUUGUCAGGGAGCAAUUGGCGCUACGUGUAGCGUUAUCGAGAGUACCUGAAGAAAAAGCAUCGGCUAACUCCGUGCCAGCAGCCGCGAUAAUACGGAGGAUGCGAGCGUUAUCCGGAUUUAUUGGGUUUAAAGGGUGCGUAGGCGGAAUGCCAAGUCAGCGGGAAAAUCGCGGGGCUCAACCUCGCUCCGCCGUUGAAACUGGCGUUCUUGAGUGGGCGAGAAGUAUGCGGAAUGCGUGGUGUAGCGGUGAAAUGCAUAGAUAUCACGCAGAACUCCGAUUGCGAAGGCAGCAUACCGGCGCCCAACUGACGCUGAAGCACGAAAGCGUGGGUAUCGAACAGGAUUAGAUACCCCAGUAGUC